rnacentral:rRNA from 1 species
UGGGGAUAUUGCACAAUGGGGGAAACCCGUAGCAUGCAGCGACGCCGCGUGAAGGAAGAAGGCCUUCGGGUUGUAAACUUCUGUCGUACGGGACGAUAAUGACGGUACCGUACAAGAAAGCCACGGCUAACUACGUGCCAGCAGCCGCGGUAAAACGUAGGUGGCAAGCGUUGUCCGGAUUUACUGGGUGUAAAGGGAGCGUAGACGGAGAGGCAAGUCUGGAGUGAAAACCCGGGGCUCAACCCCGGGACUGCUUUGGAAACUGUUUUUUCUAGAGUGUCGGAGAGGUAAGUGGAAUUCCUAGUGUAGCGGUGAAAUGCGUAGAUAUUAGGAGGAACACCAGUGGCGAAGGCGGCUUACUGGACGAUGACUGACGUUGAGGCUCGAAAGCGUGGGGAGCAAACAGGAUUAGAUACCC